UCCCCGGGCUGCUCUGGACCGGCAGCUCGAGACUCAUCCCCCCGCUGAACCAGCUGGAACUGCUGAGGAACCUCAAGAGUAAAUCUGGACUCGCUUUCAG
rnacentral:sRNA from 1 species